AAUAUUGCGCAAUUGGGGAAACCCUGACGCAGCAACGCCGCGUGAAGGAAGAAGGUCUUCGGAUCGUAAACUUUUGUCUUUGGGGACGAUAAUGACGGUACCCAAGGAGGAAGCCACGGCUAACUACGUGCCAGCAGCCGCGGUAAUACGUAGGUGGCGAGCGUUGUCCGGAUUUACUGGGUGUAAAGGGCGUGUAGGCGGGAUAGCAAGUCAGGUGUGAAAUACCAAGGCUCAACCUUGGGGCUGCACUUGCAACUGUUAUUCUUGAGUGUCGGAGAGGGAAGCGGAAUUCCUAGUGUAGCGGUGAAAUGCGUAGAUAUUAGGAGGAACACCAGUGGCGAAGGCGGCUUUCUGGACGAUAACUGACGCUGAGGCGCGAAAGCGUGGGGAGCAAACAGG
rnacentral:rRNA from 1 species